rnacentral:rRNA from 1 species
UACGGAAGGCAGCAGUGGGGAAUAUUGCACAAUGGGCGCAAGCCUGAUGCAGCCAUGCCGCGUGUAUGAAGAAGGCCUUCGGGUUGUAAAGUACUUUUCAGUCGUGAGGAAGGUGUUAAGGUUAAUAACCUUAGCAAUUGACGUUAGCGACAGAAGAAGCACCGGCUAACUCCGUGCCAGCAGCCGCGGUAAUACGGAGGGUGCGAGCGUUAAUCGGAAUUACUGGGCGUAAAGGGCACGCAGGCGGUUAAUUAAGUUGGAUGUGAAUCCCCGGGCUUAACCUGGGAAUGGCAUUCAAGACUGGUUAGCUAGAGUCUUGUAGAGGGGGUAGAAUUCCAUGUGUAGCGGUGAAAUGCGUAGAGAUGUGGAGGAAUACCGGUGGCGAAGGCGGCCCCUGGACAAAGACUGACGCUCAUGUGCGAAAGCGUGGGGAGCAAACAGGGAUUAGAUACC